rnacentral:rRNA from 1 species
AGAAUGAACGCUGGCGGCAGGCCUAACACAUGCAAGUCGAACGGGCACCUCGGUGCUAGUGGCGGACGGGUGAGUAACGCGUGGGAACAUACCCUUUGGUACGGAAUAGCCCCGGGAAACUGGGAGUAAUACCGUAUGUGGUCUUCGGACGAAAGAUUUAUCGCCAAAGGAUUGGCCCGCGUUGGAUUAGGUAGUUGGUGGGGUAAUGGCCUACCAAGCCGACGAUCCAUAGCUGGUUUGAGAGGAUGAUCAGCCACACUGGGACUGAGACACGGCCCAGACUCCUACGGGAGGCAGCAGUGGGGAAUCUUAGACAAUGGGGGAAAACCCU